GUUCUCUCUGCGGUCUGGGUGCUCUGAGGUAACGGAAGAAGGGGACUCACGCUUGCCCGUGGCCAAGCUGCGGUUGUAGCCGACUGGACUGAGACUGGGAAACCAAAGCUCAGAAGGGAUGCCGCUUCGCCAGCCACACCGCUGGGACGGGCAAUCCGGGAUGGGAACUGGGCACACAGCCGCCCCAGCGUUGCCGCCCCCGGGGCCCCGGCUCACCGAGGAAGGCCGAGGGCGACACGGUGCCGUUGCUGCGCGCCACCAUGACGCUGAUGCCCGUCUCCACGAAGGGGACGGAGAAGUCCACGAUCUCGGACCGCUCCUCGUUGAUGGUCCCUCUGGUGGCCCCGCCCCCGCCAAGGCGGGCCUUGGGAUGGCCCCGCCCCCGCCCCGCCCCCUCCCGGACCCGGUCCAGGCGCGCCCCACCUCGCCGAUCAUGCCGUUCCAGACGCCGUCGAUCUUCUUUCCGUGCUUGCCGUUGGUGACCAGAAGCCAGACUCCGUGGGCUCAGCUCUCAUCUCUGUCAGGCCCAGGGGCCUGGGCCCCACCCCCUUUCCCAUGCCUGAGGUCGGGGCUGGGACUCACCACCUCCCAAGUCCUAUCCCUGGUGAGGGAGAUGACCACCAGAGAGGGGUUCACCAAGAAGCCAUCCUCAUUGAAGGAAUAAUCCCGGUUAUCCCAGAUUCAGCUCAAGCGUCUCUUUCUCUGGGAGGAGCCCCAGAAGGUCUCUGCACCCUUAGAUAAUCUUCACGACGCAAUGGUACCUGUACCGUGAAUGCCUGUCCCAUGGCCCUGGUCACUGUGAAAUACCCUCAACUGCCAUCCUCACCUUCUCAACAGCCCCUCUGCCCCCCUGCCCAGGCCAUCAGUCCCCAAAUGCCACCUUCCUACCCCCAGGAUCUCUCCAUGUCAUCCCUCCUCUCCAUCAGCAUAGACCCCCUGGAUCUGUGCCCCAGCCUCCUGCCUGGCCCCCAACCUCCAUUCUUUCUCUUCCAAUCUGUUCCACACUCCCCUCCAGAGGGGUCUUUCUGGAUACAAAACUGACUCCACUUCUAUCCUGCUCAUAACCCACCCAUGGCUCCCCAGUGCUCCAGAACAAAGUCCAGGGAUUCAAGGCCUUUGUGAGCUGGCCUCAUGUACCCCCACCCCUCAGCCUCAUCACCCCCAAUCCUAAUUCUCCUACCCUUCAUCCACCCUGAGCUAUGGCAGUCCUGCCAGCCUGCCUGAGUUUUUCUCCUCUCUGGGCCUUUGCGUGAUGCUGUUCCCCUUGCCUAGGAAUACUCACUGUUUUUGGAGAACUCCUAACUGCUCUCAGAAUCAAAUCUGAACCCCCUAGCCUGGCCAAAAACGCCCUACAUGAGCUUGGGUCUGGAUGGGCUUCGUUUGUUUCCCUAUACUCUGUCCCCCUCCUAGCUCACUAAGCUCCAACCACAAUGGCUUUGUUUCAGGCUCCCAAAUAGGCAAUUCCAGCCCCAGGGCCUCUGCACCUGCUGUUCCCCCUCCCUUCUCUUCAUUCAGAUCUUCCAACAGUUGGCUUUUUCUCUUUACCCAUUUUUUUUUUUAAUUCCAAAUUUCACCUACUCAGAAAGACCUUUUCAGACGACCUGACCUAACUUAGCACCCUGGGUAUUUCUUAUCACCUUCUACCUGCUUUAUCACUUGCUAAUAUUUUUUUCUUUGUCUCAUUUGUCCCCCGUAGGAGAUUGUAAACUCUGUGAGAGCAGGGACCUUGUUCAACACCAUGUACCCCAGUGCCUAGAGCAGUGCCUGGCACAUAGCAGACUCUCAUAAAAUAAAGACUCAUUCAAUAAAUGAAUGAAUGAGCAAUUCAUCUGUCAGGUCUCAGCUUAUAGAUGUCCCCUCCUCUUGGAGACCUCCCUGACUCCAUAGGCUGCCUGUGACUGAGUAGCCUAGUUUGUUUGUUUGUUUUUUAAAGAUUUUGUUUAUUUAUUUGAGAGAGAGAGAGAGAGAGAGAGAGAGUGUGUGUGUGUGUGUGUGUGUGAGAGAGAGAGAGAG